UGGGGAAUUUUGGACAAUGGGCGCAAGCCUGAUCCAGCAAUGCCGCGUGCAGGAUGAAGGCCUUCGGGUUGUAAACUGCUUUUGUACGGAGCGAAAAGGUCUGCCCUAAUACGGUGGGCUCAUGACGGUACCGUAAGAAUAAGCACCGGCUAACUACGUGCCAGCAGCCGCGGUAAUACGUAGGGUGCGAGCGUUAAUCGGAAUUACUGGGCGUAAAGCGUGCGCAGGCGGUUAUGCAAGACAGAGGUGAAAUCCCCGGGCUCAACCUGGGAACUGCCUUUGUGACUGUAUAGCUAGAGUACGGUAGAGGAGGAUGGAAUUCCGCGUGAAGCAGUGAAAUGCGUAGAUAUGCGGAGGAACAACGAUGGCGAAGGCAAUCCCCUGGACCUGUACUGACGCUCAUGCACGAAAGCGUGGGGAGCAAACA
rnacentral:rRNA from 1 species